rnacentral:rRNA from 1 species
GAGUUUGAUCCUGGCUCAGGAUGAACGCUAGCGGCAGGCCUAAUACAUGCAAGUCGAACGCUCAGUAGCAAUACUGGGAGUGGCGCACGGGUGCGUAACGCGUACACAAUCUACCUCUAAGCGGGGGACACCUCCUGGAAACGGGGAUUAAUACCGCAUAAUAUGCCGAAGUCGCAUGACUUUGGUAUUAAAGCAGCAAUGCACUUAGAGAUGAGUGUGCGUCCCAUUAGGUAGUUGGUGAGGUAACGGCUCACCAAGCCUAUGAUGGGUAGCCGGUCUGAGAGGAUGGUCGGCCACACGGGCACUGAGACACGGGCCCGACUCCUACGGGAGGCAGCAGUAAGGAAUAUUGGUCAAUGGUGGAAACACUGAACCAGCCAUGCCGCGUGGAGGAAUAAGGUCCUACGGACUGUAAACUCCUUUUGACGAGGAAGAAAAUGUUAGAUUUAUCUAAUUUUGACGGUACUCGUAGAAUAAGCACCGGCUAACUCCGUG